AAGUCGUAACAAGGUUUCCGUAGGUGAACCUGCGGAAGGAUCAUUAGUGAACGCCCUCACGGGCUUAUACUAUUCCAAACCUCUGUGAACCGUGCCCUUCGGGGCUAUUUUACAAACAUGGUGUAAUGAACGUCAUAUAUCAUAACAAAACAAAACUUUCAACAACGGAUCUCUUGGCUCUCGCAUCAAGAACGCAGC
rnacentral:misc_RNA from 1 species